UCUAAAAUGGCAGAUUAGUGCAAUGAAUUUAAGCUUCGUAAAUGAAUAACUUAUUCUUUUAGAA
rnacentral:tRNA from 1 species